rnacentral:rRNA from 1 species
ACCUGCCCUAUGAUAUAAAUUAAAUGGCCGCGAUAAUUUGAUCGUGCAAAGGUAGCAUAAUAAUUAGUUUCUUAAUUAGGAACUGGAAUGAAAGGUUGGACGAGAAAAAAACUGUCUCAGUUUAAAUUUAAUUAGAAUUUUAUUUUUAAGUUAAAAAGCUUAAAUAAUUUUAAAAGACGAGAAGACCCUAUAGAGUUUUAUAUUAAUUUAUUUAUUUUUUAGUUUAAGAAUUUAAUUUUAAAAUUUAUAGAUUUAUAUUUGAUUGGGGUGAUUAAAAAAUUUAAUAAACUUUUUUUUUAAAUUAAACAUUAAUAAAUGAUUAAUUGAUCCAUAUAUAAUGAUUAAAAGAUUAAAUUACCUUAGGGAUAACAGCGUAAUUUUUUUUGAGAGUUCUUAUCGAUAAAAAAGUUUGCGACCUCGAUGU